AGGUAAUGCCUUGAUAUAUAGGCAAUGCCUUGAUAUAUAGGUAAUGCCUUAGGUAUAUAGGUAAUGCCUUGAUAUGUAGGUAAUGCCUUGAUAUAUAGGUAAUGCCUUGAUAUGUAGGUAAUGCCUUGAUAUAUAGGUAAUGCCUUGAUAUAGAGGUAAUGCCUUAUGUAUAUAGGUAAUGCCUUAGGUAUAUAGGUAGUGCCUUGCAGUCCACUACUGCUGAAUACAAUGCAAUAAAAAGUUAACCAAACAAACUGCUUAGUAGACAAAACGCAAAUAAAUUUU